rnacentral:rRNA from 1 species
AGCGAACGCUGGCGGCAGGCCUAACACAUGCAAGUCGAGCGGCCGUAGCAAUACGGCAGCGGCAGACGGGAGAGUAACACGUGGGAACGCGCCCUUCGGUUCGGAAUAACCCAGGGAAACUUGGGCUAAUACCGGAUACGCCCUUACGGGGAAAGAUUUAUUGCCGAAGGAACGGCCCGCGUCCGAUUAGCUUGUUGGUGAGGUAACGGCUCACCAAGGCGACGAUCGGUAGCUGGUCUGAGAGGAUGACCAGCCUCACUGGGACUGAGACACGGCCCAGACUCCUACGGGAGGCAGCAGUGGGGAAUAUUGGACAAUGGGCGCAAGCCUGAUCCAGCCAUGCCGCGUGGGUGAUGAAGGCCCUAGGGUUGUAAAGCCCUUUCGGCGGGGAAGAUAAUGACGGUACCCGCAGAAGAAGCCCCGGCUAACUUCGUGCCAGCAGCCGCCGUAACAC